CACCGCGCUCAUUGGUCCCGGUGGCCCGAGCUCGGCCGAAUGACCACCUGCCGCGAGCGUGUGGCGAGUCCUUGCCCUGCUGGAGGUCCUGCGCGGGUGACUGCUCUGAGCCUCAGUCUUCUGUCUGUGCCAAGGGAACAAUACGCUCUUGUCCCCAGGGGGCGGUGGGCACUGAGUUCCGCCACGCACUACACGUCUCAGAACAAGGAUGGAAGACCCAGGCCCUGCCCCUUGGCAGCCCCCAGACCAUCCCAGGACACUGACCAGUGACCAGUGACAGAAGCUGCUCUGAGGUGCCACAGGAGGAAGACAAGACAGUGCCUCCGGCCCGGCACGGGCCAGGCUUCCCACAGCCAGGGGUCCAGGAGGCUGCAAUCUGGUAGUGCUGCUCACUGGCAAGUUGCUCCACCUCCCCGAUCUCAAUUUCCUCACCAGUGAAAUGGGUCCUGGCCCUGCAGAGCUCCUGGGCUGUCUGUCGGGGGUCCUCUCCUAGGUGGGAGACAAAACACUCACCCAAGCACCCAGAGCAGACCACUGGCAGGCAUGCUAGAGGGACUGGGGGCCCCGGAGCUGUGCUGUCCCUGAACCUUCCUCCCAAGAGGCAGCUCACCUCUGCUCACCAAGUGUAUGAGGACCACACCUGAGUGCUGGGGGUUGCUGGGGUUGUAUUAGUGUCCCCUGUGCCACCAGGCCGGGAACUCCGGGCAGCACACACUGCCAGCCCCUGGCAGGAGCGGGACAGUAUUUGAAGCUCCUCCCUGCAUCCCAGGGCACGUGCCGCAGCAGCUGUGGUUCUGAAUGUUGUUCUGCUGUUCCAAGUGGGGGGUCCUGAGGGCCUGCCAUACCCCAGAGCCAGGGCAGGUUCAGUCUUGUCUCUGUUCUCAGUGAGGGCAGCACCCAGCACAGGGACACCCAAGCCCCCUGUGCCCACAUCGCUUGCAGGCCUGCAGCUCCACCUGUGAAGUCCAUCAGUCAAAUAAGGUAGGCAGCAGUGACCUCUGAGCCUGCGCACUGUUCAGAGCAUACACCUGCCAAUAAAAGUCAGCUCCCUGAAACUCUGCCAAUCUGAGGAAUGCACCUCUCCAGAUCCCAGCUGUGCUAUCCUGGCCAAGCCCCAGAUGUCCAAGGUGCCCCAGCAAUGGCCACUGUGAGACUCCCAAGGGAAGAGAAAUUAGAUCUGUCUGUGGCACAGACCAGGCCCUGAGGGGACAGGAUGACAGAAGGGUUGGCAGUCCUUCUAAAACAAUCCUCCUCAGGGUAUAGAAGGCAGAUGCGCUUCAGUGCUAGGUAAGUAGUGUUCUAAUGGCAGCUCUGGGACCAACGACUGACUGGAGCACUUUCGACUAAAGCGCACAGUAGGUGCUCAGCACAUAGUAGCUGUUUGGUGCACAGUAGAUGUUCCGCACAUAGAAGCCACCAUGUAUGUCCCUCAGCUUACAGCGGGUUAUGGCAACCCAUCUCAGUUGAAAAUAUGCACUUAAUCCUAUGGGCCAUCCUAGUGGAAGCAACAUAAUCACAACAGAGUGUCAGCUUCCUCAAGCGAUUUCAGGGCUGCCAGGGAGCUGUGGGUCCCCUCCACUGCCCAGCAUCUGGAGAGAGUACAGCAUCAUCAUUUGGUAGUCUAGGAAGAGGUCAAGAUUUACAUCUGCUGUCACACCACAGGAAAAUUAAAAACCAUAAUGGAACCAUCCUGGGUUGGGGCCACCUAUACUGGGAAUGCUGCUCAUCCUGUUGUCCCUGGACUCAGGUCCUCGAAGGGGGUUGGGCAGCCAUUCCUGCCCAUGCCCUGUGACCCUGAGAUGGGAGACUCUGCUGGAACAGUUGGGGAGACCCACCCAAGGGGGAAAAGGUAGGUGCCUCCAGCACAGCGGACCCAAGCCCGGGCUCCUGUCCAAUGGAUCCCACCCAUGCCCAUUGCCUGGACCCUCCUGGCCUUUCCCACCGAGGCUCUGGCCCUGGUGGCUGCAGGAGCAGAGGGAAUGCAGGGAAGGGUCUUAGGGGAAGGGUGCCCGCCUGGGUCUCUGUCCAGCCUUCAGGGGCAAAGGGAGGAGCAUUGGCCUCUGAUGUGGACUUUGAGUCCCUGGAGGGCAGAGGCUGCGGGUUUCUCUUCCUUGGGUCCCCUGUGCCUAGCAUUGGGGCAGCAUCUGUGGAUCUGGACCCGCCCUAUGUGGUCAUCCUGCUCUGUGCCUGGCAUCGCACCCCUCCAUCGUCCUGCCUGGUGUGGAGGACCCAGCAGACAGGGAGCUGACCCUGUGCCUGGGUCCAGGCCCAGUAACAGGAAGCGAGAGCCCGAUGCUUGCCGGUAAACGAGAUCUGAGAGAUUAGAGGUCUUGCUGCCUAAUCAGAAGCUGCCUGAAGUUGGAGGACAAGUUACUGGAAGGAGGAGGAAGCUGCAGUGGUAAAUAAUGUCAGCUGAACAGAUGCACAGCUGAGAAGCAGCGGGCGCCAGGGUGGGGGAGCAGGUGCAAGGGUGUAAGCUGGUCUCCAGCGGAUCUGGGGGCACCUGGGAGGGGGAGGGGUCCAGCCGGGCCCUGAGCACAGCUGGCAGAGUCUGAGGAAGGCACAGGUCUCCAGAGUUCCCACCCGGGAGCUCAUGAGUCCUUCACAGCCUCCUCCCUCCCCAGGAGGCCCCUGAAGUGUGCACCUGGCCCUGAGCCCGCCUGGCUCCCCCUGGGUCCUCCCUGCCACACACCCAUAGCCCAGAUUCCUGGAAGGCUGGCUGCUUCCCAGGGAGCACAGGGAGUCCCAGGGUGGCAGUCCCCAGAGGGUUCCCCAGGAUUCCCGCUGCUGUCACGCCCUCACUCUAGGCCUUCUGUGGGCUCCUAGGCUCCAUAUCUGCCCCUCGGGCCCCCUGAAGGCCCCUGAGCAGCUCUGAAAGGUCUGCAGCUCCCUGAAACCCCACCCUACUGGACCCCGAAGUGUGGUGCUGAACCCAGCAGCUCCAGUUCCAAGGCACAGAGCUCCAGGCUUUGGCAGGCCAGAGAGCGGCCUCUGGUAAAGAAGGGGCUGUGCCAGCAUGGGAAGGGGCUCCAACCUAGCCAGAGGGGAAGUGGAGGCACAGCAGCACGCCAGGCUUAGAGAGGUGCCGGGCAUGAUUCACAGGCUUGCCCAGCCCACCUUUGCUUCCCUGCAAGUCCACGGUGCACGGCGUCCCUGGUCUCCCCAGACCCCUUGUCAUCUCUAACCUUCUCCAGACCCACCCAACCGUUCUUCCUUCGGGUCUGGUCACCUUUGAUCCCCACCCGGACCCCUGUAGUUGGCACUAGCAGCCCGGGCCAUGCCAUGAUGGCCAGCCGAGCAAAUGGGAGCUUCAACUUUGUGUCCCAUGCUCCAGGCCUCUCACAUGGGGCAAGCGUGGGGAGUGGGUGAGCGUGACACACUUCUGUGUGCAGAGCAUGGUUCCCAGUGCAGAAGGUGAUGGAAGAGGAAAUCCCCAUGGCCUUGAGGUGCGGAGAAGCCCUUCACAAGAAAGAUCUUACUCACAAACCGAGCGCAAUCUGUGUGGCUAUGAGAAAUGAAGGGUUCCUGGCCCAUCACGGAUGCCCUCCAAGCAGAAAGCCGAGCUGUGGGAAGGGCAGGGACCAUGGCACACUUGAGCACCCAGAAGCAGUGAUGGGCACACGUGGAAGGGAGCCUCAUCCACCUGGCUGGUCAUCGAGAAGAGAGAAGACAGGAACAGGCUCAUCACCAACAGGGUCCCAGAUGGCACAAACACAGGAAGACACCACCCUGCCCGGCCAGAGACACCCUCCCCGCCCCGCGCCCGCCUGCCAGGAUGGCUCCUGCUGACAACUCUGCAGCUGCCAGGUGGUGCAGGGAUAGAGGAGCAGUGGGAAGUAGAGUCCACCCUUUAGGGAAUGCCCACGGGUGUCUCGUGACUCACCAGGUCCUUCCCAGCUGUUUUGCUGUGACAGAGGCCUCCAAGCCUGGGCAGCAGGACUCAGCACACUCCAGCAGCAGACCAGCACCCAGCCCAGAGUUCUGUGGUAGAACAGAGGGACAAAGUGGGUCCCGGGCACGAGAUGAUGCCUCUCAUCUCAGGAAUGUGAUUCGGUCCAGAGGAGCCUGCCUAAAAAGGACACCUACUGACUCUACUCAAACACCAGCUGUACCCCACUGCCACUGAGGGAGGCCCACAUGGUGGCAGAAACUGUAAGAAAAGCAGGUGGUUAGCACUCUGGGAGGCUGAGGCAGGAAGAUCCGAAGUUUAAAUCCAGGCAGGGCAAUUUAGGAAGACCCUGUCUCAAAAAUAAAAAUAAAGGGGCUAAGGAUGUAGCUCAGUGCAAAGGCUUAGGUUCAAUCUCUAGUACAAGAAAGAAGGAGAAAGAGAGAGAGAGAACAAGAGAGAGUGAGAGAGAGAGAGAAGAGGGAGGAGAAAUGUAAAGUAGAUGAUCAUAACAGGGCAGUGUGACUGCUGGCAGAGGGAAGGGUUUCGUGGGCAGAGAGCUCCUGGAACCCCGGCCAUGGUUUAUUUCCUCAUCUGAGUGGCGGUGAUGUGAGAGUUCAUUUGACAUUUAUAUUUAUUUGCCACUGUACAAACACGUUUAGUGCGCUUUUCUGUAGGGUGUUAUA